GAGAGUUAGCAGCAGGCUGAGCUACUUGGAAACUUUGCUGGCUUUUGCAGAGCUACAGGAAGAACUUUGGCUUUUGUUACACUGGACUAACCAUGUCAGGAUAACAGUCCCUUGGAUUAUAGUCAUUGGACUCGCAAGACCAGAUUCCAACACGGGCUGACAAUUGGAAAUGGGACCUGACACUCUUGGACACAGAUGUCGGCUACGGCAGCGGCUUCAAACAUAGGCUUUGGUGACCACAUUUCUAAUCGAGAGAAUCUAGUUGUGCGAACGAGCGACAAACCAGCUGGGAGGAUGGAAGCACCUGUUCUCAAUUCCCCUUCUCCACCCGCGUUCAGUAACUAAAUACGGAUUCACCCCGUAAUAAGUCAACCGAAGACAGGGUCCUUCCAUAACCACAUACUUAUGCCAGUAAAAGCUACAGUUUUUCUCCUCCGAUCCAAGAAGCCUGG